rnacentral:rRNA from 1 species
GACAGAGGUCCCAAGCGUUAGGCGGAAUCACUGGGCGUAAAGCGUGUGUAGGCGGCUUUGCAAGUCGGAUGUGAAAGCCCCGGGCUCAACCCGGGAAGUGCACUCGAUACUGCAGAGCUUGAGUGUCGGAGAGGUUGGUGGAAUUCUCGGUGUAGAGGUGAAAUUCGUAGAUAUCGAGAGGAACACCGGCGGCGAAGGCGGCCAACUGGACGAACACUGACGCUGAGACACGAAAGCGUGGGGAGCAAACAGG